rnacentral:rRNA from 1 species
UACGGGGGGGGCAAGCGUUGUUCGGAAUUACUGGGCGUAAAGCGUGCGCAGGCGGUUUUGUAAGCCAGAUGUGAAAUCCCCGGGCUUAACCUGGGAAUGGCAUUUGGGACUGCAAGGCUUGAGUGCGGCAGAGGAGACUGGAAUUCCCGGUGUAGCAGUGAAAUUCGUAGAUAUUCGGAGGAACACCAGUGGCGAAGGCGGCUCACUGGUCCAUUACUGACGCUGAGGUGCGAAAGCGUGGGGAGCAAACAGG